rnacentral:rRNA from 1 species
CGUGGGAACGUGCCUUUUAGUUCAGGAUAGCCACUGGAAACGGUGAGUAAUACUGGAUACGCCCUAAGGGGGAAAGAUUUAUCGCUAAAAGAUCGGCCCGCGUUGGAUUAGCUAGUUGGUGGGGUAAUGGCCUACCAAGGCGACGAUCUAUAGCUGGUCUGAGAGGAUGAUCAGCCACACUGGGACUGAGACACGGCCCAGACUCCUACGGGAGGCAGCAGUGGGGAAUCUUGCACAAUGGAGGAAACUCUGAUGCAGCGAUGCCGCGUGAGUGAAGAAGGCCCUUGGGUUGUAAAGCUCUUUUGUCGGGAAAGAUAAUGACUGUACCCGAAGAAUAAGGUCCGGCUAACUUCGUGCCAGCAGCCGCGGUAAUACGAAGGGACCUAGCGUAAUUCGGAAUUACUGGGCGUAAAUCGCGCGUAGGCGGUUAAGUAAGUUAAUUGUGAAAGCCCAAAGCUCAACUUUGGAAUUGCAAUUAAAACUACUUAGCUAGAGUUUAUCAGAGGAA